rnacentral:rRNA from 1 species
CAGCCGCCGCGGGAAUACAGAGGGUGCGAGCGUUAAUCGGAUUUACUGGGCGUAAAGCGUGCGUAGGCGGCUUUUUAAGUCGGAUGUGAAAUCCCUGAGCUUAACUUAGGAAUUGCAUUCGAUACUGGGAAGCUAGAGUAUGGGAGAGGAUGGUAGAAUUCCAGGUGUAGCGGUGAAAUGCGUAGAGAUCUGGAGGAAUACCGAUGGCGAAGGCAGCCAUCUGGCCUAAUACUGACGCUGAGGUACGAAAGCAUGGGGAGCAAACAGGAUUAGAUACCCCCUAGUCCCUGUCUCUUAUACA